rnacentral:rRNA from 1 species
CGCUGGCGGCGUGCUUAACACAUGCAAGUCGAACGGAAAGGCCCCCUUGUGGGGUACUCGAGUGGCGAACGGGUGAGUAACACGUGAGUAACCUACCCUUGACUUUGGGAUAACUUCAGGAAACUGGGGCUAAUACCGGAUAGGAGCUCCUGCUGCAUGGUGGGGGUUGGAAAGUUUCGGCGGUUGGGGAUGGACUCGCGGCUUAUCAGCUUGUUGGUGGGGUAGUGGCUCACCAAGGCUUUGACGGGUAGCCGGCCUGAGAGGGUGACCGGCCACAUUGGGACUGAGAUGCGGCCCAGACUCCUACGGGAGGCAGCAGUGGGGAAUAUUGCACAAUGGGCGGAAGCCUGAUGCAGCAACGCCGCGUGCGGGAUGACGGCCUUCGGGUUGUAAACCGCUUUCGCCUGUGACGAAGCGUGAGUGACGGUAAUGGGUAAAGAAGCACCGGCUAACUACGUG